CCGUGUCCAGCUGCAAUACUCCGGCCAUCAGCCCCGGGAGGUCCGUCUGAUGCGGAACAAAUCCUCAGGUCAAAGCCGUGGCUUCGCCUUCGUGGAGUUUAAUCAGUUGCAGGACGCGAGCAGAUGGAUGGAAGCCACACAGCAUUCCCUGGUGGUUCACGGUCAGCAGGUCUCCAUGUACUACAGCGACCCCAAGCCCAAGGCCAACGAGGACUGGCUUUGUAACAAG